rnacentral:ncRNA from 1 species
CAAUCGUUGCCACCGGGUAACGAAAAAUGCUUAAAGAGCAUUCGUAACGCGUCGUCAGGUCUUAGAAGACGCGGAACGAGUGCUUUUUUUAC